rnacentral:rRNA from 1 species
GACGAACGCUGGCGGCGUUCUUAACACAUGCAAGUCGAGCGAUGAAAGCCUUAUGAACUAUUCGUAGUGAUUGGGGCCGGAUUAGCGGCGGACGGGUGAGUAACGCGUGAGCAACCUGCCUUAAACAACGGGAUAGCCUCGGGAAACCGGGAUUCAUACCGUAUGAGACCCCGCCUUCACAUGAAGAAGAGGUUAAAGAUUAUCGUUUUAAGAUGGGCUCGCGUCUGAUUAGCUAGUUGGUGAGAUAAAAGCCCACCAAGGCAACGAUCAGUAACCGGCUUGAGAGAGUGAACGGUCAAAUUGGAACUGAGACACGGUCCAAACUCCUACGGGAGGCAGCAGUGGGGAAUAUUGCACAAUGGGGGAAACCCUGAUGCAGCGACGCCGCGUGAGCGAUGAAGGAAUUCGUUUCGUAAAGCUCUGUUCAAGGGGAAGAUAAUGACAGUACCCUUGGAGGAAGCCCCGGCUAAAUACGUGCCAGCCGCCGCCGUAA